rnacentral:lncRNA from 1 species
CGUUAGGCAUGCUCAGUGCUGGGGGUUCUGGGAGGGUUGCUGCCAGCCUGACGUAGCUCAUGUCUCUCUGAGACAGGUGUAUCUGUCCCUGCUUCGGAUGUACCUGUCGCCCCCCAGCAUUCACUGCCUGGGGCCAAUCAAGCUGGAACUACUGGAGCCAAAAGCCAACCUCCAGGCCGCUCUGCAGGUCCUCGAGCUACACCACAGCAAACUGGACACCACCAAGGUCAGGAGUUGUUCCUAGGGAGAUGGAGGGUGUUUGCAGGGAGCACCGAAUGAGAAGAGGAAAUGUGGAAAGGGACUAGGGUCCAAGAGCUCCACGGCUGCAGACAUUUCUUCAUUCUCACUCCUGUUCACCUCACCCAGUCCCUAUCUCUGUUCCUGUCCCUAGGCCCUCAACCUUCUGCCAGCAAACACUCAGAUCAAUGACAUACGCAUCUUCCUGGAAAAGGUCUUGGAAGAAAAUGCACAAAAGAAACGGUUCAAUCAAGUGCUCAAGAACCUUCUCCAUGCAGAAUUCCUGAGGGUCCAGGAAGAGCGGAUUUUACACCAGCAGGUGAAGUGCAUCAUCACAGAGGAGA